rnacentral:rRNA from 1 species
UACAGAGGGUGCGAGCGUUAAUCGGAGUAACUGGGCGUAAAGGGCGCGUAGGCGGUUUUGUAAGUGAGAUGUGAAAUCCCCGGGCUUAACCUGGGAAGGUCAUUUUAGACUAUGAGACUGGAGUACAGUAGAGGGUAGCGGAAUUUCCGGUGUAGCGGUGAAAUGCGUAGAGAUCGGAAGGAACAUCAGUGGCGAAGGCGGCAACCUGGACUGAAACUGACGCUGAGGCGCGAGAGCGUGGGGAGCAAACAGG